GGGGAUUUAGCUCAGUGGCAUAAGCACCUGCCUUGCAAGCAGGAGGUCGUGAGUUCGAUCCCAGGUACCG
rnacentral:tRNA from 1 species